CCUACGGGGGGCAGCAGUGGGGAAUAUUGCACAAUGGGGGAAACCCUGAUGCAGCGACGCCGCGUGAGCGAUGAAGUAUUUCGGUAUGUAAAGCUCUAUCAGCAGGGAAGAUAAUGACGGUACCUGACUGAGAAGCCCCGGCUAACUACGUGCCAGCAGCCGCGGUAAUACGUAGGGGGCAAGCGUUAUCCGGAUUUACUGGGUGUAAAGGGAGCGUAGACGGCGCGGCAAGUCUGAUGUGAAAGCCAGGGGCUCAACCCCUGGACUGCUUUGGAAACUGCAAUGCUAGAGUGCUGGAGAGGCAG
rnacentral:rRNA from 1 species